rnacentral:miRNA from 1 species
AGGAGACCUAGAGAGAGAAAGGGGGAUAAGAGAGAGAAAGAAGAAGAGAAGUGGAAGAGAGAGAGGGCCAAAACAGGGGACCAUAAUCAUCAAAGUUAUCUCUCUCUCUCUCUCUCUCUCUCUCUCUCUCUCUCUCUCUCUCUCUCUCU